UUUGAACGCUGGCGGCAUGCCUUACACAUGCAAGUCGAACAGCAGCACGGGAGCAAUCCUGGUGGCGAGUGGCGAACGGGUGAGUAAAGUAUCGGAACGUGCCCAGUCGUGGGGGAUAACGUAGCGAAAGUUACGCUAAUACCGCAUACGAUCUAUGGAUGAAAGCGGGGGAUCGCAAGACCUCGCGCGAUUGGAGCGGCCGAUAUCAGAUUAGGUAGUUGGUGGGGUAAAGGCUCACCAAGCCGACGAUCUGUAGCUGGUCUGAGAGGACGACCAGCCACGACGGGACUGGGACACGGGCCAGACUCCUACGGGAGGCAGCAGUGGGGAAUUUUGGACAAGGGGCGAAAGACUGAUCCAGCCAUGCCGCGUGCAGGAUGAAGGCCUUCGGGUUGUAAACUGCUUUUGUACGGAACGAAAAGGUUUGGCCUAAUAAGCUGAGCUCAUGACGGUACCGUAAGAAUAAGCACCGGCUAACUACGUGCCAGCCGCCGCCGUAA
rnacentral:rRNA from 1 species